GAGUCAUUUACAAUUGAAUUCGGGUAACUGUUGGAGUGCUGAAUAAGUUUCUGUCAUAGAUGAGAGAAUUCUGUAUACGACUGCGGAACCUGGUACACAGUGGAGCAACCAAAGGAGAAAUCUCGGCCACACAGGACGUCAUGAUGGAGGAGAUAUUCCGAGUGGUGUGCAUCUGUUUGGGUAAUCCACCAGAGACAUUCACCUGGGAAUAUCGAGACAAAGAUAAAAAUUAUCAGAAAAUUGGCCCCAUAACACCCUUGGAGUUUUACAGGGAACAUGUCAAGCCACUCUUCAAUAUGGAAGAUAAGGUUGGUGAAUGGCACUGGUAGUCACUGGCUGUUUACUUUCAAAUGGCUGUUAACCACAGGGAAUUGUAUAAGAUUCUUGGUUAGCAUGUAUGAGUAUCAAACUAGACAGCAAACAAACAUUUUUCCCCACUUCCUCUGAAGUAUUUUAUGCAGCUAAUGAAGUUGGUGGUGCCAGGAUUUAUCAGCUUUUCCACAAUGUUCCUCUUCAGAGACUUUUUAAACUGUAAGCCAGCAGUCAUUUUAAUUCCCACAUGCGCCCCUGUAUAGGACCAGAAUC
rnacentral:lncRNA from 1 species